GGUAGUUUGACUGGGGCGGUCUCCUCCUAAAGAGUAACGGAGGAGCACGAAGGUACGCUCAGCGCGGUCGGACAUCGCGCACUGUGUGCAAAGGCAUAAGCGUGCUUGACUGCAAGAUCGACGGAUCAAGCAGGUACGAAAGUAGGUCUUAGUGAUCCGGUGGUUCUGUAUGGAAGGGCCAUCGCUCAACGGAUAAAAGGUACUCCGGGGAUAACAGGCUGAUACCGCCCAAGAGUUCAUAUCGACGGCGGUGUUUGGCACCUCGAUGUCGGCUCAUCACAUCCUGGGGCUGUAGUCGGUCCCAAGGGUAUGGCUGUUCGCCAUUUAAAGUGGUACGCGAGCUGGGUUCAGAACGUCGUGAGACAGUUCGGUCCCUAUCUGCCAUGGGCGUUGGAAGUUUGAGAGGGGCUGCUCCUAGUACGAGAGGACCGGAGUGGACGAACCUCUGGUGUUCCGGUUGUCACGCCAGUGGCAUUGCCGGGUAGCUAUGUUCGGAAGCGAUAACCGCUGAAAGCAUCUAAGCGGGAAGCGCGCCU
rnacentral:rRNA from 1 species